AUGAUCCUCCGCAUCCGCAGCCGCGACGGCACUGACCGCAUCACGGUGCCGGACGCGGCCGCCGCCACGGUCGGCGACCUGCAGCGCCUCAUCGAGGCGCGCGCCACCGUGCCCGUCACCGCCCAGCGCCUCUCCCUCGACCCGGCCCUGCUCCUCCCCGCCCCGCAGCCGCCGCUCCUCUCCGACCCGGCCGCGCCGCUCGCCUCCCUGCCCCUCGCCAACGGCUCCUUCGUCUACCUCUCGUACCCGGCCGGCGCGCGCGCCGCCCAGCCCCCGCCGCCCAGGGCCCUCACCGCCGCCGGCUCCUUCGGCAAGAAGAUGACCAUGGACGACCUCAUCGCGCGCCAGAUCCGGGUCACCCGCCAGGAGGCGCCCUUCUGCUCCGCGGCCUCCUUCGACCGCGACUCGGCCAACGCCUUCCAGCUCCACGUCUCCGAGUCGCUCGCCUUCGCCGUCAAGCGGGCGGGGUUCCUCUACGGCCGCGUCGACGCCGAGACCAAGGAGGUGCUGGUCGACUUCAUCUACGAGCCGCCGCAGCAGGGGUCCUCGGACGUGGUCCACCUGAUGCGGGACGCCGACGAGGAGGCCCGCGUGGACGCCAUCGCCGACGGGCUCGGCAUGCGCCGGGUAGGGUUCGUCUUCACACAGGCAGUCGGGAGGAAGGCCAGCGAGACGGGCGAGUACACCCUGUCCAACAGAGAGGUGGUCCAGGCCGCCCAGCUGCAGGCAGAGGGCGGGAUCCCGGAGUGGGUCACCGCCGUGGUGAAGCUGGAGGUUGGGGAGGACGGCUCGGCCGAUGUGCACUUCGAGGCGUUCCAGAUGAGCGAGGUCUGCGUCAAGCUGUUCAAGGACGGCGUGCUGGAGACGGAGAUCCAGGACUCCGACGACCCCCGCCUGUCCAAGAUGCGCAAGGAGGUGAUUGCAGGAGGGAAGGACACCAUGGAGGUGGACAAUGACUUCUUCCUGGUGCCCGUGAAGAUCUCCGAUCACCAGGGCCCGCUCUCAAUGGGAUUUCCGAUUGAAAACCGCGGAAUUCCUCUGCCGGCAAACGCUCUCAGGAGCCACAUGGAUCGUGCCAAGCAUCUCCCAUUCGUCAAGCGGAUCUCUGAUUUCCACCUGCUUCUCCAGAUCGCUGCUUUCCUGGAUGUGAAGGCAGACGUUCCUACUCUGGCUGCGUGCGUGGGGCACCAGGCAGAGGUGCCUGAGGGCUACCGGCUCCUGAUCGACGCCUUGGCAGGUCAAACAUAA
rnacentral:rRNA from 1 species